rnacentral:rRNA from 1 species
UACGAAGGGGGCUAGCGUUGCUCGGAAUCACUGGGCAUAAAGCGCACGUAGGCGGAUUGUUAAGUCAGGGGUGAAAUCCUGGAGCUCAACUCCAGAACUGCCUUUGAUACUGGCGAUCUUGAGUCCGGGAGAGGUGAGUGGAACUCCGAGUGUAGAGGUGAAAUUCGUAGAUAUUCGGAAGAACACCAGUGGCGAAGGCGGCUCACUGGCCCGGUACUGACGCUGAUGUGCGAAAGCGUGGGGAGCAAACAGG